GAUAAUCACGAAUCAUAAAAAGCCCAAAAGAAGAAUGGACAAGCUGCAUGUAAUAACCACUCUACUACUUUUAACAGCAACAGUUGUGAAUACUACAAAAAUAAUUAUUACUUCAUCGUCGUCAUUUCGAAAUGGGGACGAGUCGUUAACCAUUUUUUGUGAGGUGUCAUCUAGACUUGGAUUGGAUAAAAUCACAAAUAUCCAUCUUGAAAGAGGUUCUGUAUUUCUUGGAUCAAUUGAUGAAAACGGCACAAAGAUGGGAUGGAAAAAACGUUCGUUUUCAUAUGAAAUUUUCGGCGAAUUUCACCCCUCUUCCCCUACACGUUCCUAUCUACAACUGGUUAUUAGGAACCCCAGUACCGAAGAUCAAGGCACCUAUGAAUGUACAACAGUCGGCCUGGAAGUAAAACAUAUAACGGAUACUCAACGACAGUAUGUCAGACUCGAAGAUUCAGGAAGUACAAUCUCAGAAAGUUCUAUUACAGAAAGGCAUGUCACAUGCAGUGCUGUGUCAUCCUGGUGUGUUAUAUAUCAAACCUUUCAAGUAUUUACCUUGACGGGAUUCUUGAUACUAUGCAAUAAUAUUGUAUAUUGACCGGAUACUUGAUAUUACAUUAAUAUUGUAUUGACCGGAUAGACAAUAUGCUCAUUUGACAAUGCUAUAGACUGGUACCUCUUUGCUGUAUUGACUCUAUGUUUAGUUGCUGAUCAUUUAACGACACCUUUGUGUUCAGUUAAAAUUCGUUUUUACUUUUUUACUCAUGGAUUUGGAGUUAGUCUGUGUUGUGAAUGGAAUCCUUUUCGUGUUGAAUUGACUUAACCACCUCAUUUAAACAAAAUAUUUAAGUCAGACAACUGAAAAGAAUACACAGGUCACAAUUCUAUAAUUACCGCUUAUUGCUGUUGAUUUACUAAAUGCCAUUGAAACAAAUCAACUGAAAUGAGGUAGUUAGCUUUUCAUGUAGUACAGGUCACCAAUAUUAAACCGGAACAUAGUAAAUAUCCAUAAAGGACAAUAUUCUACAUUGUAUAAGACAAACUGGUGGAUGAGGUAAAGAGUGCUUUGGAUCGAUUGAAGUCGCCUGUCCGACCCUGUGUUUUUUUUCUGAGCACUAUUUAUUUAGCACCAAACCAUCUGAUUAAAACACAAAUCAUUUUCAGUUUCGUUUUUUACAGUUCAAAACUGCGUUUACUGCAGUAGGAUCUGAAAUAAUUGAAACAUGUGUUCUGGUUGAUAUGAGGGGUGAGCCAAUCAAAUGGUCUGUUGAGUGAGUUCCCGUGGGUAGACAUUCGCAGCGGUAGAAAACAAAUCAAAGCACAAGUUGUAUUUCCGAAUACCCAUUUGAUACACCAAGUUAUUUAUUUAAAAUGUAUCUCAUUUUAUUGUUUUUUGUGCUUGCUUUAAAUAUUUUUAGCUAAACUUGUGGUGUCACCAAAAGUGUUGUAGCCAGUGCACAUAUGACACAUUUAUUACUCUGUUCUUUCAAACAUUAGAUUAAAGGAAUCAUCCCGAUUUUAUCAGAGUCUCAGAAAUAAAAGUUCGUGUACGUAUGAAAUAAGCGCCAAAAUAUAGAGAAAUGGUGAAUUUACCUCAGCUCAAAAUAUCAAGUCGUUUGGGCAAGAACGUCAAAACCGCUUAUCGGGUCAGGUAACCCUUUUAAGAUUUCGGUUUAAAGUUUGGUUUUAUCCGGACACUGUAUAAUACAGCUUAGGACACCGUUAUCCAUUCCCAGAUGAAGACUGACGGGUUUAAGUUGUUUAAAAAAGUUAUCACGUAUAUUGAGUUAGUUGCUCGGCCCUAAGGUAUAGGAUUUUAAGGGCUUUUAACACAAAAUUAAGCAGUUUUAUUCUCCAAAAUAUAAUCGAGGUUGACCCUUUAAAACACAUUCUGUCAAGGACUUGGGAAACAGUUCUGUCCCAAUCCAUAUGAGCAGGUGACUAUAUUUAACAGAUCGCCACCCAGUUAAUGCUAGAGCAACAAACUCCUUUGUUUUAUUCUUUCGAUUUAUACCUUGCGUAUGCAUAAUUAUUCUUCUGCAAAAUUGUCAUUUACAAACUACUUUGUGGUAAUGACGACACUGAAGAUGAAUUCCAUUUUGUCCUGAAGUGUCCUGUUUAAAAAAUCGAUCAGAGAACAAUACCUUAAACGGUAUUAUUUUGUAAAAACUUCGGUAUGUAAACUUACCCAGUAGUUCGCAUCAAACAAAGUAAAGGUUUUGAACAAUCUGGUUAAAUUUUUAAAACAGGCUUUGUGUGUAAGAGAAAGUUUACUUACGGUUCGGUAGCUGAUUAUAUUAUUAUUAUUGUUCUCAAUGACUCUGUAUGAUUGUGCCAUCGAUGCAAUGUAUAUUUUCUUUAUUUAUAUGCCGUAAGGCAUUUGA